UUUGUAUAGUAAAACCUGCAAAAAACACAGGAUUUAGCACUUAAAUCUUGAAUUUAGAGGCCAAUGUAAACGUCUAUCUACACUUCAAUAUCGUAUUUGUUUUUGUAUUUAUUUAGUCAUUCCGUUUCCAACACAUCGAAAUAUCUGUAUCCGAACUUUCGAAGUAUAUAUUUUUUUGGAUCUUGGCAAAACUCUAAGACGAUUUAACGAUGUCCGUGUGUCUGCAGCCUUCAACAAGUAAAAGCGUGCCGAAUCUUAUAUACUCUCCAUAAUGGAUCGCAUUUGUCGAGCUCUUUUCCCGGUAUCUCUUUUUGGCACAAACAAAGGAUAAAAGAAAAUAAUUGCUAUGUUAUUGGAACUAUAUCAUGUUAUGGUUCAUUUCAGACCAUAAUUAAAUUGAAUAUUGGAUACCAUAGUAGACGUCAUUGUGUAAAAUUUCUGUCAAAUCUAUGCGAAAUGGAUUAAAAAGGGUUGAUCUAUAAUUGUGAAUCGAUGCAAAUGCGAAUUCGCCCAUGAACAUUCAACCAAGGAACAGGAGCAAACUUCUUAUAAACGGACCUGCUAACCUCUGCUUCGUAGUAGCGCCUUACCAUUGCUAGCCCAUACAAUAAACAAAUUUUU